GAAAAAGUUCAACGUUCUCAAAUCUAAUCCCUAUUUUGUGAAACAAUGAAACAUGAGUCAUGGGGGAGCAGCACGCUCGGAAAUACCAUGUAUAAGAAAUGAACAACAGGAAUGAUGUUGCCAUGAGAAUCUGUGAGAAGGAGUCCUGGCACCAUUCUAAAGGUUGUGAAUGAGAACAGGGGCCUACCUCCCAGUCACCACUAGCAGCCUGGCUAUGCUUCAAUCCCAGUGUUUAGAUGCAAGGCCAACCCCAGGUUACCCAAGAGGGGGUCUGCUCCCAGCUUGCACUUUGUGGAGUUUGUGUGCAAUUUCAAUUCCUGAUGAUGAAUAAAUGAUGGAAUUCAUCGACAGCAAAAAAAUAAAUACUUUGUUGAUUCACAGUUGGCCACUUGCAACUCCUGAGUGGAAACAGAGUGGAAUAAUAAAUAGGCCACGGUAGCACAGUCCUGUCGACAGGAGGGAAAUAAAUAAGUUUGAUGCCCCGAAAGUCAACAUCCACAAGGUGACAAAUAAACAGUGGGGCUUGUGUGCUCAGUGAAU
ensembl:lncRNA